AAAGAAAUUAAGGAAGGAAGACAAAAGCGAAGCAGAGCAAAACAGCCAAACAUCGAAAGUUUCCAGACUUUUCCAAAACUAAAGCACUGCUCGCUUUGCCUUGCCUUCUUUCCUUUGCUUUUCCUCUACUUU
rnacentral:ribozyme from 14 species